rnacentral:rRNA from 1 species
CCAACGUCUAACACACAUCGUUUACGGCAUGGACUACGAGGGUAUCUAAUCCUCUUCGCUACCCAUGCUUUCGUUCCUCAGUGUCAGUAAUGAUCCAGAAAGCUGCCUUCGCAAUUGGUAUUCUUUCUAAUAUCUACGAAUUUCACCUCUACACUAGAAAUUCUGCUUUCCUCUAUCAUACUCUAGCUGAAAAGUUUUGAUGGCAGUUCCAGAGUUAAGCUCUGGGAUUUCACCACCAACUUUUUCAACCACCUACGAACUCUUUAAGCCCAGUAAUUCCGAACUACGCUAGGUCCCUUCGUAUUACCGCGGCUGCUGGCACGAAGUUAGCCGGACCUUCUUAUUCGGGUACAGUCAUUUUCUUCCCCGACGAAAGAGCUUUACAACCCAAAGGCCUUCUUCACUCACGCGGCAUCGCUGCAUCAGAGUUUCCUCCAUUGUGCAAGAUUCCCCACUGCUGCCUCCCGUAGGAGUUUGGGCCGUGUCUCAGUCCCAAUGUGGCUGAUCAUCCUCUCAAAUCAGCUAUUGAUCAUAGUCUUGGUAGGCCAUUACCCUACCAACAAACUAAUCAAGUGCGGGCUCAUCCAAUGGUGCAUAAAGCUUUCUCCGUAAAGACUUAUCCGGUAUUAGCACAAGUUUCCUCGUGUUAUUCCAGGCCAAAGGGUAGAUACCCACAUGUUACUCACCCGUCUGCCACUAAGUAUUGCUACUUCGUUCGACUUGCAUGUGUUAGGCGUGCCGCCAGCGUACGUUCUGAGCCAGGAUCAAACUCU